GUCAUCUGGUAACACUAGUCAUCUGGUAUCAUCUGGUAACACUAGUCACCUGUAGUCAUCUGGUAACACUAGUCAUCUGGUAACACUAGUCAUCUGGUAACACUAGUCAUCUGGUAACACUAGUCAUCUGGUAACACUAGUCAUCUGGUAACACUAGUCAUCUGUAGUCAUCUGGUCAUAACACUAGUCAUCUGGUAACACUAGUCAUCUGGUAACACUAGUCAUCUGGUAACACUAUCAUCUGAUAACGCUAGUCAUUUG